GUUUGAUCCUGGCUCAGAUUGAACGCUGGUGGUAUGCUUAACACAUGCAAGUCGAACGGUAACAGAAAGAGCUUGCUCUUUGCUGACGAGUGGCGGACGGGUGAGUAACGCGUAGGAAUCUACCUAUCUGUGGGGGAUACCGUUUGGAAACGAACGUUAAUACCGCAUAAUAUCUUCGGAUUAAAAGUGGCGCUUGCGCUGCUGCGGAUAGAUGAGCCUGCGUUAGAUUAGCUUGUUGGUGGGGUAAAGGCCUACCAAGGCUGCGAUCUAUAGCUGAUUUGAGAGGAUGAUCAGCCACAUUGGAACUGAGACACGGUCCAAACUCCUACGGGAGGCAGCAGUGGGGAAUAUUGGACAAUGGGCGGAAGCCUGAUCCAGCAAUACCAUGUGUGUGAAGAAGGCUCUAGGGUUGUAAAGCACUUUAGUCAGGGAGGAAGUUUAUUUGGUUAAUAGCUGAAUAAAUUGACGUUACCUGAAGAAUAAGCACCGGCUAACUCCGUGCCAGCAGCCGC
rnacentral:rRNA from 1 species